UUGUGGCCAUAUCAGGUUGAAACCGGGUUUCUCACCUGAUCAUUGAAGUUAAGCAACGUUGAACCUGGACAGUACCUAGAUGAGUGACCACUCGGGAAUACAAAGUGAUGUAAG